UAGGGAAUCUUCGGCAAUGGACGGAAGUCUGACCGAGCAACGCCGCGUGAGUGAAGAAGGUUUUCGGAUCGUAAAGCUCUGUUGUAAGAGAAGAACGAGUGUGAGAGUGGAAAGUUCACACUGUGACGGUAUCUUACCAGAAAGGGACGGCUAACUACGUGCCAGCAGCCGCGGUAAUACGUAGGUCCCGAGCGUUGUCCGGAUUUAUUGGGCGUAAAGCGAGCGCAGGCGGUUAGAUAAGUCUGAAGUUAAAGGCUGUGGCUUAACCAUAGUAGGCUUUGGAAACUGUUUAACUUGAGUGCAAGAGGGGAGAGUGGAAUUCCAUGUGUAGCGGUGAAAUGCGUAGAUAUAUGGAGGAACACCGGUGGCGAAAGCGGCUCUCUGGCUUGUAACUGACGCUGAGGCUCGAAAGCGUGGGGAGCAAACAGGAUUAGAUACCCUGGUAGUCCACGCUGUAAACGAUGAGUGCUAGGUGUUAGACCCUUUCCGGGGUUUAGUGCCGUAGCUAACGCAUUAAAGCACUCCGCCUGGGGAGUACGACCGCCAGGUUG
rnacentral:rRNA from 1 species